UCCAGCCUGCCAGUGACAAAUGUUCAACGGCCGCGGUAUCCUAACCGUGCGAAGGUAGCGUAAUCACUUGUUCUUUAAAUGUGGACUAGUAUGAACGGCACCACGAGGGUUAUACUGUCUCCUUUCUCCAAUCAGUGAAACUAAUCUCCCCGUGAAGAAGCGGGGAUAAAAAUAUAAGACGAGAAGACCCUAUGGAGCUUAAAAGUUUACUUCAAACGCUAACCCCUACAAAGUCAUAGACUACCACAAGAAGCCACGCGCCAUGAAAACAACUUUUAGGUUGGGGUGACCAUGGAGCACAAAACAACCUCCACGCUGAACAGGCCUCCAAGCCUCGAGCCAAGGGCCACAACCCGCCGCACUAAAAAAUUAACAUCCAUUGAUCCAAUGAAUUUUGAUCAACGAACCAAGUUACCCUAGGGAUAACAGCGCAAUCUACUUCAAGAGUUCCUAUCGACAAGUGGGUUUACGACCUCGAUGUUGGAUCAGGGUGUCCCAGUGGUGCAGCCGCUACUAAUGGUUCGUUUGUUCAACGAUUAAAACCCUACGUGAUCUGA
rnacentral:rRNA from 1 species